CUUUUCUCAUCAGCACACUAAUCCUUGUGCUUUAAAAUGUUGGACUACAUUCAACCACCCAACAUCUGAAAACUCAAGUACCACAUCAGGUAAUGUAAAGGACACAUUUCAUGUGUUUUACUGUAGUAAAGCUUACAUUGUACUAACCACACUCAUACAAUUUUCAUGUUUUGCUUUUCAGCAAGCACCUCAAACCUUCAACCAUGUGGACCUAUCACUGCUUCCAUCAUUCAUCAACCUGGGUUUGGCUAGACUAAAGCAACUUCAAUUGCAAGGAGUCUUGUCCAGAUACCAAAAACAGCAUUGAAAUCUUCUUGCUGAAUCCUUAUGCUUUGAAAUGGUGGAUUUCAUUAAACCAGCCAACAAAUGAAAACUCUCCCACCACCAAUACUACAUCAACAAGCACCUCAUCCUUUAAACCAUGUGAACCUAUCACUGCC